AGAGAGAGAGAAGAGGAACGUGUAAUAAUGAAGAAAAGAACUCAACCGAACAAGCAAAGCAAAGCAAAACCAUAACUUCUUCCAAAAUUCUCUUUUUUGCACAACAAUUUUCUUACCCUUUUGAUAAUAAUGGCUUCUCUAAUCCAGAUAUGUGUCAAAUUACAAUUUUUUUAAAACCCUUUUUUCCCUUUGGUAGAUAUACAUCUUAUUUUCCAUUUUCUUCUGCAAUAAAAUGAUGGUUCAAUUCUUGAAUUUUUUGCCUGGUAUGCCACCAAGAUUGAAUUUUUAAGGAGAUUGGGAAAACCCCAGAAAGGUUUUGUUGAGGAAAAAUGGUGGAAGAUUUAUGUGAAGUGCAUUCUGAAGAUGAUAAAGGUCACCCUGAGAAAAACAGGAAAAGAAUAAUCAAGACACGUGCUCAGGUCGAAGCACUGGAGAAACUUUAUGAAGAACACAAAUAUCCUACCGACGAGCUGAAAGCUGAUCUGGCAGAGUCAUCGGGGUUAUCAGAAAAACAAAUUUCUGGGUGGUUUUGUCACAGGAGGCUGAAGGACAAGAGGCUGGCGAAGGGGGAAAUAUAUUCCAAUGGAAGACAAGAUCGUUCAAGUGGUGUUAUUCAGGAUCAUGGCAGCGGAUUUAGGCAGGAUUCUUGUGGUAGCACCAAGCAAGCGGAUGAUAGGAAAUUUGAUCAUCGGGAAGUUGAGAGUAGAAGAUUAACUGGCCCGGAACUCUCAACUGCAGAUGUGACAUAUGAGGUUGGAACUCAUUUUAGACAAAAGUCUAAUCGCAUGGACGAUGAAUCUUCAAAGAGCAGCUCUUCAUUACGGAAUGAACGUUUUUCGCAAAAUGCAGAACCAUACGAUAUAGCAACUUCAAGAUACAUAUCGCAGAAUUUACCCACUGAUUUUAAGGGAGUAAAACCAAAGAAUGGCCCGUCUGGGUAUUUAAAAGUAAAGGGUCAGGUAGAGAAUGCUGCAAUUACUGCUGUGAAGAGGCAAUUGGGUAGGCGCUACCGACUGGAUGGUCCACCACUUGGUGUUGAAUUCGAUCCACUUCCUCCUGCUUCUUUUGAAUCAUCAGUGCCAAACCCUGUCAAUGACCCUUAUUACUCUACAGAAGCUGUUCCAGCUUGCUCACCAGAUAUGUCCAACGUCUACAUGCGGUCAAAUGGAUUCGGAUCCAAUUCCAAGUCCAACUCUCAUGAUUCUGAUCUGGGUGAUUUGAGCUUCAAAAGAAAACCCAAUUCUGCUCAUCCUGAAUAUCGCUUCAACGCAAGGCCUAUGCAGAAGUCCUCUGAGCAUAAUGAAUAUCCUGAGUGGAACUCAUCAUUAGACAUGUAUGAAGGUUCUGCAAGAAAAAUGGCAGUUGACAGCAGAGACAGCCGUAAGUUUAUGGCCAAACAUGGAUGUGGAGACAUGAGAACUAGUACUGGUUCAAGCGAUGGUCUUCGAAGUCCCUUUGUUGGAAAAGUCAAUGUGGCGCAAGUGACACCUCGGUUCAGUAGCCGCAAUGAAGCGAGCCUUAAGGUGUUAGAGAAGGAAUAUUUUGAUCGCAAGCCUUCUGAUUUUAAGGGAAGCGACUAUCAUAAUUUUGGAGCGAGAGAGCUCCCCAAAAUAGUUGAAAAGGACCACAUCAGUGGAAAGAGGCCAGCAGUUAAUGAAAAUUGUAAUCUAGUUCCUGUGAAGGUGAAGGUUCAGAUUCCCCGACACAAUGAGACAAGAGUUGUUAAACGAGCAAUGAAUGAAGUUCCCGACCAUCAAGAGUACUUGAGGAGAGCAUCCGUGAUGGGAAUACCACUGCAGACAAAUCAUCAUAUAAGGAUUUUUGGAAUAUGGCUCCACUUUGAGAUGAUCAUGGGACUUGAUGUCAUGACUAUUGAGAAUCAUAUUUACCCCUUGAAUGAUUAAUCUUAGAACUGAUGUACGACCUUCAUUUGUUAAUUUUGCUCCAUCUCUAGAAGGUUGAUCAUAAAACAGAGCGCAGGACAGCUGGAGAGAUACCACCUAGCUUUAGUGAAGAUGAAGAAACAGAAGACACCAGUUCGUUCGAGGGUUAAAAGAUUUGCUUUUGACUGAAGGAAAGUAACAGGUCCAUUAGUUUUAGGAAUAUUUGUUGGAUUUAUGUGUCGAUACAACUCCUUCGGAUAUGUACAGUUCAAGAUAACUUAAAUCCAAUCGUCUUUACUCCCAGCAUGUGAGGAGAUCUUUCGGUGUUUGUAUAGUUCAAAAUAUUUGUAUCCCAUUUUGUAGCUGGAUGCUGAAAUAGGAAUACUGUUUUUGAGUAAUAUAUGCUGUCAUUUAGCUUAAA